UGGGGAAUUUUGGACAAUGGGCGAAAGCCUGAUCCAGCAAUGCCGCGUGUGUGAAGAAGGCCUUCGGGUUGCAAAGCACUUUUGUCCGGAAAGAAAUGGCUCUGGUUAAUACCUGGGGUCGAUGACGGUACCGGAAGAAUAAGGACCGGCUAACUACGUGCCAGCAGCCGCGGUAAUACGUAGGGUCCAAGCGUUAAUCGGAAUUACUGGGCGUAAAGCGUGCGCAGGCGGUUGUGCAAGACCGAUGUGAAAUCCCCGAGCUUAACUUGGGAAUUGCAUUGGUGACUGCACGGCUAGAGUGUGUCAGAGGGGGGUAGAAUUCCACGUGUAGGCAGUGAAAUGCGUAGAGAUGUGGAGGGAAGUACCGAUGGGCGAAGGCAGCCCCCUGGGAAUAACACUGACGCUCAUGCACGAAAGCGUGGGGAGCAAACAGGAUUAGAUACCCUGGUA
rnacentral:rRNA from 1 species